UACGUAGGGACCAAGCGUUGUUCGGAUUUACUGGGCGUAAAGGGCGCGUAGGCGGCAUUAUAAGUCACUUGUGAAAUCUCCGGGCUUAACUCGGAGCGGCCAAGUGAUACUGUAAAGCUAGAGUGCAGAAAGGGCAAUCGGAAUUCUUGGUGUAGCGGUGAAAUGCGUAGAUAUCGGAAGGAACAUCAGUGGCGAAAGCGGCUUCCUGGACCAGCACCGACGUUCAGGCACGAAAGCGUGGGGAGCAAACAGG
rnacentral:rRNA from 1 species